rnacentral:rRNA from 1 species
UACGAAGGGGGCUAGCGUUGCUCGGAAUUACUGGGCGUAAAGCGCACGUAGGCGGCUUUCUAAGUCGGAGGUGAAAUCCUGGAGCUCAACUCCAGAACUGCCUUCGAUACUGGAGAGCUUGAGUCCGGGAGAGGUGAGUGGAACUGCGAGUGUAGAGGUGAAAUUCGUAGAUAUUCGCAAGAACACCAGUGGCGAAGGCGACUCGCUGGACAAGUAUUGACGCUGAGGUGCGAAAGCGUGGGGAGCAAACAGG